CUCAAAUGUAUGUUGACGUAUUCUGAAAGGGAUACUUCUUCGGACAAUAUACAAGGUGCUGCAUGGUUGUCGUCAGCUCGUGCCGUGAGGUGUCGGGUUAAGUCCCAUAACGAGCGCAACCCCUACCUUUAGUUGCCAUCAGGUUAAGCUGGGGACUCUAAAGGAACUGCCUACGCAAGUAGUGAGGAAGGCGGGGAUGACGUCAAAUCAGCACGGCCCUUACGUCCAGGGCUACACACGUGCUACAAUGGCCGAUACAGAGGGCAGCUACCUGGUGACAGGAUGCAAAUCUCCAAAGUCGGUCUCAGUUCGGAUCGGAGUCUGCAACCCGACUCCGUGAAGUUGGAUUCGCUAGUAAUCGCGCAUCAGCCAUGGCGCGGUGAAUACGUUCCCGGGCCUU
rnacentral:rRNA from 1 species